ensembl:lncRNA
UUUUUCAAAUAAAAAAUAGUUAUUUCAAAUUGUAAUAUGCAGGGCAUCUCUGUUUAGGUUACGAGGGCACUUUUUUGAACAUAAAGGAGUGGUUAUGAUAUCGAAAUUAAUGGGAAGUGUGACAAUGCAGUCAGAAAUAGAAAGUGUUCAGUUGUAUCAGGACAAUUAUAACAGUUGCAUCGGGGGGUGGAGAUUAAAGACAGUAUAUUAAGCUUGCAUUACUUAUGUUAGGUUACUUCUCAGUAGUCACUUUUCUGGCAUUAGGUUUGGUAGCAAAAAAACUUAAAAAGAUGUUUCAGUUUAUUAUAUUUAUUGGAUUGGCUUUACUGAUUGGUAGAUCAAUACCAACAGCUGCAGAAACAUCUAUCGCUCCAUCAACAAGAACAACAGCCCCUGAACUAACAUGUAUAAUAGCUACAGCAGCAUCUAUAGUUCGAUUAACAAAAAAUCCUGCAUCAACAUGUAUAUCAGCUACAGCAACAUCUACAGCUCGAUCAUCAACCACAACCCCUGCCCCACAGUCUACAUCUCGCUCAGCAGUCACUGAACCAACAUCUACAACUCAAUCAAGACCACCUGCACCAACUUUAAGUUCAACUGUGCUAACAUCAACCACUCUGUUAUCAACUGCAUCAACAUCGAUAUCAGCUGCAGUAACAUCUACUUCUCAAAAGACAGCUCAACUUACAUAUACAACUCAACCAGCUUCUGUCCCACAAAGUAAAAAAGCAAUUUUAUUUUGCCUGUUCAUGCAUUUUUAUUAAUCACCAUUCAGAUUUUGUUAUUAAAUUAGAGUUUUAUUCACCUAUGCUAAUAUGAAUCUAAUAUGAGCUUUCAUUUUACAGAUAUGACAGCAUUAGCUUCUGCAACUUUCAAAUUGAGAUGCUUUGCUGAGCUGAGCAAUGAUGAAAUCAUUACGUAUAUUGAAAAGGUGAGCUAUUAUUUUGUUAUUAACAUUUUUUGUCUAAUUGUUAGCAUUAAUUUGUUGCCGAACUGUUGAAGAAUUAACAACAAAACAUAUCAAGCAAGCAAUUACAAUGGAAAUGUAAUGUACCCAUGGCAGGAAAACAACAACUCUUUGUUUAGAAUGUGACAUUUGAGAAGAAGUUGGCUGACAGCAGAAUAAUUCGACAUAGAAGCUGUUGUUUUAUUUUGUAGGUAAAUUACCAGAUGUUACUGUACUUUUUUUUUCAUCGCAGUUUGUCAAGCACUUUCAAUCAAGCAUUAGUGGGACCAUCAAGAUUACUGUGAGGAAAUCAAGAAAACUGUUGGCAUAAGGAUCUGAUGGAAAACUUGUGACUUUCCUCUGUAUACUUGCAGUUUUACUGUUGUAAUUAAACAAUACUAUACAUUGAACACAUAUUAUUGUUGCACCUUUCCUAUACAAAGUAAAAAAUAAAAAUAAAAAAAAAUACUCUGAAACA